CGAACGGGAUUGGCCUCGAGCAUUCCAGCUGGGGGAUAGUGUUGUCGGGGACUUUGCGUGGAAGUAUUUGUAGCCUAAGGGUAUCUGGAUAUUGUUUGGUUGGAGCCCAGUACUUGAGGGUGACGUUUGAAUGGGGAAAUAAUUCGAGAGUGCUUGAAUAGACGGGCAGUUAAAUAAUAUUCGAGCAGUCAAGCUUCUAACAGUACUCUAGUAAUCAAAUAUUCCAACCUGUUAACAGCUAGAAAUCAAGCAACGACAAGUCCAUACAUAUAUGUAUACGCCGAACGCAGGGCAAAUGGUCCCGUUUUAAAUUUUACGAAAAACGACGAAGGAUUACAUUUUUAUUUAACAAAAAAGUUAUCAAUUCGUUUGUGUGACAUUAUUCGAAGCAUUUUGCAGCGUCUAAGGUUUACGAAUAUUCAAAAUUUCUACCAUUUGGUCACUUACAACCUGGAAUUAUUGUAGCGAGCCACAGUAAACCCACUCGGGCAUAAUUAGUGAACUAGUUCUUGAGAGAUUAAUGAGACCCAUAGACAUAACGUUUGUAUCCCGUGGUAAUUUGUGCAGCUAUGGUUGGCACUGGUGUUUGGACGACGAUUGAGGAGCUCGCAAGGGGGCCAUACAGUCGCACCCUCUGAGAAUUUGAUGACAUUUAGAGGGUUGAAACUGGAGGUCGAAUGACGAUGUCCUGUAGAAUAUUUUAUUUCAACGGUUGCUUCUAAUAAACAUUUAAAUCCUGUUAUACUUCUUGAUGCUUUUACAACCUACGUCAUUUAUCGAUUUGUCACAAUUAAUAUAAUUCGCUUAUUCCGGAUUUUCGAGGUCCCGCAGUAUCUUCAACGUGGGAAUGAUAUCCGCAAGGUUAUUAGUCCAAGUGCUGCACGAUUCCGUAGAGCGGUUUGCUCUUCCAUAGACUUGUUUAUCGAGUAUUUCGGAAAAUGCGAAACAGCGUGCAGUUAAAAAAUUGAGCAUAUGUACCGUUUUUUUAUUGAUUUGCUGUCUGUAGACCACCCUGCGAAAGCGUUUUACAUUGUUGCGAAAAUUUUAUAGAAAAGUACUAACUGUAAUCCAAUUUUACAGUAUGUGUAACUAUUGCAAAUGGUAAAUAUUAUUUACUGUACUCUAGAUUAUGAAACAUUAGUAAUUCGAAGUUUAAAAAGUGAUCAAGUGAUGGAGGACACGUGGGUAUUUAAAUAUAAUAGAUUUAUUAGAUAUUAACAAUUUUUACAGCACUCGUAUCUCGUUAAUCUUAAACAAUACACAACUAAUGAGUAGAUGUUAACGCUCCAGUCGACGGACUGGCGACGCACGUGGGUUACAUUACCACCUAAAUUAAGUACAAAUAAUCAAAUACCAGACUCAUCAGUACGUAUCUUGAACGCUUACCACGCGGUUAGAAUAUAUUUCAUCCAUUCAGUUUGGCAUUUUUAUGGUCAAUUUAUAUUAGCAUAUCGCAUGCAUGUAGACGAUUUAACGAUAUUUUUACAUUUUUUUAAAAAAAAAAGGUGAAAUUAAUACAUAUUCGAUUAUCGCGUUAAGUACAAUGUCGUUAAACUUGCAGUUCCUAUAGUUGGAUCAAAAAGAAAGGAGCACUCAAGCCAAUUCAUUGUCUUCCUGAAGUUCGUACAGUCAAAGUCAAAGCUUUCUAAAACGAUUACUUUUUGUGUAUUUUUUAAAAAUUAUUUCUUCAAUCAGAAACGGCAUCGAGCAACCAAUUUAAUUUGAUUCAACUAGAAUACACUUGAAAUACGCUCGACUCAUUCUACGUCUAGCGAUACUUCGUUUGACAACUCAACCAUUUUAACCCUUUGCGAUUCACCUAUGCUUAUUUUUGAUCAACACAAAUUUGAAGUUUCCUCAGGCAUUACUACCAACGCAUAGCCUGAUUGUUUCGGGGUGCAAAGGGUUAAAGCAGUCAAAGUUAACCGAGCGGUAACCACCUCAAAGGAUCACUCAAGAACACAGUCCGUUGAAUCACAUUUUCCUACUGGCGCCACCGCUAGCUGUCGGCUGCAGUUGAAUUUUCGGAGCCGCAAGAAAGAAAAAAAUUAUAAAACGCCCACGCCUGAUCGAGAGAGCGCGGAAAACUGAUACGUGCAUUGUUAAAGGGAGGCUUCGUACCGACGUGGACGCAAACAACGACGCGUACCAUCGGUUGAACACCGUUAAAAAUAAUCAAAUAAUAUGAGCAACCGAACAGUUAUAAAUAGAACGAUAUUAUUAUACAAUGGUUUUUACGUAGGUUUCUCAUACAUAUACAUAUAUAAAAUAAGUUCACGGGCCGAUGACAUUUACAUAAUACACACACGACACACACACAUGUAUUCAAACGCGUCUCUUAUAGAUCUACGGUUUUAUCAAUUCCUUACAGCUACGAUGGACGGUACGCUGACUGGUAAUAAUAAUUACCAUUUGAAUAUAAAUAUUAUUCAGAUAUUAUUAUAUUCAAAUGGUGCGAUGUGAUUGUGUUUCAGUUAUCAAACAUGGCCAAAGUUUCUGAAGCAAUUACAACCGGAUAUUUUUAAUUUUAUGUUUCGAUACCAUGUACAAAAUACGCUAGAUUCUUUGCUUAAUAUAUAGACUGAAGAAACACAGGGGUUGCUUGUUAUACUGUUGCAUAUAACCUGAUAUGGUUGGUUCGAAAACUAAAUAGUAAUGUGCAAGUGAUUUUAGUAAGUUUUUUCAUAUUUUUAUAUCUUUCCUUUUUACCAAUUAAGUCUCUAAAUAACCUCCUGAGGCCUUGUAACAUGAUCCAAAAUUUUACAAAAAAAAAAAAAAGAA